UACGUAGGGGGGCUAGCGUUUGUUCGGAAUUACUGGGCGUAAAAGCGCCCCGCAGGCGGCCGUGCACGUGGGGUGUGAAAGCUCGCGGCUUAACUGCGAGAGGCCAUCCCAUACGGCGCGGCUCGAGCCGUCCAGAGGCCGGUGGAAUUGCCGGUGAGUGGUGAAAUGCGUAGAGAUCGGCAGGAACACCCAGGGGGAAACCAGCCGG
rnacentral:rRNA from 1 species